rnacentral:rRNA from 1 species
UACGUAGGGUCCAAGCGUUAUCCGGAAUCACUGGGCGUAAAGCGUGCGUAGGUGGUAAUUUGCGUGCAGUGCGAAAUUGUGUGGCUCAACCAUACAACGGUACUGCAUACGGGAUUACUAGAGGACAUGAGAGGCAAGUGGAAUUACUGGUGUAGCAGUGAAAUGCGUAGAUAUCAGUAGGAACACCAAUGGCGAAGGCAGCUUGCUGGCAUGUAUCUGACGCUAAGGCACGAAAGCGUGGGGAGCGAACAGG